CCGCCUAUAUACCACCGUCGUCAGCUUACCCUUUGAAGGCUUAUUAGUAAGCAAAAUUGGUCUAUCCCAAAACGUCAGGUCGAGGUGCAGUGUAUGAGAGGGGAAGAAAUGGGCUACAUUUACUAAUUUAGUAAACUACGAAAAAGGUGCUGAAACACACCUUAGAAGGAGGAUUUAGCAGUAAGGGGGGAAAUAGAGUGCUCCCCUGAAACUGGCCCUGAAGCGCGCACACACCGCCCGUCACUCUCCCCACAUAAUAAACUUAUUGUAUAUUUAAAUAAAUCUCUUAUAUUUUAGGGGAGGCAAGUCGUAACAUGGUAAGCGUACCGGAAGGUGCUCUUGGAAAAA
rnacentral:rRNA from 1 species